rnacentral:pre_miRNA from 1 species
UGUUAAAUUUUCAUCUAUUUCUACUAUUAAAAACUGGUGUGGUCAUGUGACGUGUCAUAUGUACCAUGCUAACGUAUAGAAGCCAAUUUUUAACAAAUAGAAUAGAUGGAAUUUUUAACA